rnacentral:tRNA from 2 species
CGCGGGAUGGAGCAGUCUGGUAGCUCGUCGGGCUCAUAACCCGAAGGUCGUUGGUUCAAAUCCGGCUCCCGCAAC